rnacentral:rRNA from 1 species
CCGGCGAGGGGAGUGAAAAAGAACCUGAAACCGUGUACGUACAAGCAGUGGGAGCACCUUCGGGUGUGACUGCGUACCUUUUGUAUAAUGGGUCAGCGACUUAUAUUCUGUAGCAAGGUUAACCGUAUAGGGGAGCCGCAGGGAAACCGAGUCUUAACUGGGCGUUAAGUUGCAGGGUAUAGACCCGAAACCCGGUGAUCUAGCCAUGGGCAGGUUGAAGGUUGGGUAACACUAACUGGAGGACCGAACCGACUAAUGUUGAAAAAUUAGCGGAUGACUUGUGGCUGGGGGUGAAAGGCCAAUCAAACCGGGAGAUAGCUGGUUCUCCCCGAAAGCUAUUUAGGUAGCGCCUCGUGAACUCAUCUUCGGGGGUAGAGCACUGUUUCGGCUAGGGGGUCAUCCCGACUUACCAACCCGAUGCAAACUACGAAUACCGAAGAAUGUUAUCACGGGAGACACACGGCGGGUGCUAACGUCCGUCGUGAAGAGGGAAACAACCCAGACCGCCAGCUAAGGUCCCAAAGUCAUGGUUAAGUGGGAAACGAUGUGGGAAGGCACAGACAGCCAGGAUGUUGGCUUAGAAGCAGCCAUCAUUUAAAGAAAGCGUAAUAGCUCACUGGUCGAGUCGGCCUGCGCGGAAGAUGUAACGGGGCUAAACCAUGCACCGAAGCUGCGGCAGCGACACUAUGUGUUGUUGGGUAGGGGAGCGUUCUGUAAGCCUGCGAAGGUGUGCUGUGAGGCAUGCUGGAGGUAUCAGAAGUGCGAAUGCUGACAUAAGUAACGAUAAAGCGGGUGAAAAGCCCGCUCGCCGGAAGACCAAGGGUUCCUGUCCAACGUUAAUCGGGGCAGGGUGAGUCGACCCCUAAGGCGAGGCCGAAAGGCGUAGUCGAUGGGAAACAGGUUAAUAUUCCUGUACUUGGUGUUACUGCGAAGGGGGGACGGAGAAGGCUAUGUUAGCCGGGCGACGGUUGUC